AGCCUUAUCUGCCGCCCUAGAGCCUUUUCCCUAUAACAGUGAAAUCAACAAUGACUUGUGUCAGGAGAGAUCUUUAAUUUAGUAUUACAAGAUAUUCUAAUGUUUAAAGAGCAAUCCAACAUAAAUGAAGAGAGCCGGGAUAACCUUUUUAUACUCGGGAAGGUAACUGUCAUGCAUUGUUUUUCCAGAUGAGAGGUACACUCUGCUCCAAGCCAUCACCUGUUCUACAAACUCCAGAAAGUCUUUCAUUUCUCCUAUAACUGUUGUGCCCCUGGUAUGUGUGAUGUGCUUAACAGGCACUUUCUGCUGUGGCCUUCCAGACUCUGCAGGUGGUGGGACUCUGCGGGGAGUGGGUAGGAGAACA